AGGACGAACGCUGGCGGCGUGCUUAACACAUGCAAGUCGAGCGGAAAGGCCCUUCGGGGUACUCGAGCGGCGAACGGGUGAGUAACACGUGAGCAACCUGCCCUUAGCUCUGGGGUAGCUCCGGGAAACCGGAAUUAAAUACCGGAUACGACCUAGGCCGACAUCGGCCAUGGUGGAAAGUUUUUCGGCUAGGGAUGGACUCGCGGCCUAUCAGCUAGUUGGUGGGGUAAAGGCCUACCAAGGCGACGACGGGUAG
rnacentral:rRNA from 1 species